rnacentral:rRNA from 1 species
AGUCACUGACAUUAGACUACCCCCGUAGUCCCAGCCGUAAACUAUGCGCGUUAGGUGUACUGGUGACCACGAGUCGACCGGGGUGCCGAAGGGAAACCGUGAAACGUGCCGCCUGGGAAGUACGGUCGCAAGGCUAGAAACUUAAAGGAAUUGGCGGGGAGCACCGCAACGGGAGGAGCGUGCGGUUUAAUUGGAUUCAACACCGUAAACUCACCAGGGAAGACUGUUACAUGAAGGCCGAGAUGAAGACUCUGCUAGAUUUUCAG